rnacentral:rRNA from 1 species
GUCGUAAACAAGGUCUCCGUUGGUGAACCAGCGGAGGGAUCAUUACCGAGUGUAAAAACUCCCAAACCAUUGUGAACUUACCACUGUUGCUUCGGCGGCCUCGCCCCGGGCGCGUUCGCGCGGCCCGGACCCAGGCGUCCGCCGGAGGCUUCAAACUCUUGUCUUUUAGUGUAUUUCUGAGUGGCAUAAGCAAAUAAAUCAAAACUUUCAGCAACGGAUCUCUUGGUUCUGGCAUCGAUGAAGAACGCAGCAAAAUGCGAUAAGUAAUGUGAAUUGCAGAAUUCAGUGAAUCAUCGAAUCUUUGAACGCACAUUGCGCCCGCCAGUAUUCUGGCGGGCAUGCCUGUCUGAGCGUCAUUUCAACCCUCAGGACCCGUUCGCGGGACCUGGCGUUGGGGAUCAGCCUGCCCCUGGCGGCGGCUGGCCCUGAAAUACAGUGGCGGUUCCCUCGCGAACUCCUCCGUGCAGUAAUUAAACCUCUCGCGGCAGGAUAGCGGUUGAACCACGCCGUUAAACCCCCCACUUCUCAAGGUUGACCUCAGAUCAGGUAGGAAUACCCGCUGAACUUAAGCAUAUCAAGU